AACUUUCAGCAACGGAUCACUUGGCUCUCGCAUCGAUGAAAAACGCAGCGAAAUGCGAUAAGUAAUGUGAAUUGCAGAAUUCAGUGAAUCAUCGAAUCUUUGAACGCACCUUGCACCCUUUGGCAUUCCGAAGGGUAUGCUCGUUUGAGUGUCAUUGUACUCUCACACUCCCGAUGCUUUUGGAUUGGGAGUGGUGGACUUGGGUGUUGCUGCUUUACUGUGGCUCACCUCAAAUGGAGUAGUGCAACUCUUGGUUGGACAUAGUACGGCGUGAUAAGUGUCUUCGCCGGCGCCUCAUUAGAGGGUGGCCGAUCGGGAGCUCUGUGCUUCAAACCGUCUUCGGACAACAUCUGACAACUUGACCUCAAAUCGAGUAGGACUACCCGCUGAACUUAAGCAUAUCAAUAAGCGGAGGCU
rnacentral:misc_RNA from 1 species